rnacentral:lncRNA from 1 species
UGGGUAAAUAGAAGAUGAGUGAUAAGUUAAAGUUUGAGCUGAGAUUGAAUCUUAGUAAAUGAGUUUCUAACUGAGGUUUAUCUUAUCUCAUGAACCACUCCGACGUUGUGACAUCUGAAUAUACAAGCAGAGGACGGAGGUAAGAUCGUCCAAGUACUACGAGAGUAAGCUAAGUUUGUCAGGUGGGCAUUAUUUUGAUAUACGUAUUAUACGAGCUUUCUUAAAUGAUAUGAUAUUUAUGAUUAUGAAUUGAGUUAAUGUUAUGCUUGAAACUAAUUGACUUGCCGAGUUUUGUUAAUAAUGACUUGUGUGUUACCCUCUACUGUUGAGACGAAUCGGUCCUGCCACAAGCGGGAUUUGUGCACAGAGGUGACUGUGAGCCGUCUAUCGGGUCGGCCGGUCACGGUACUUGAGAGGGAGGCCUACUUCUCAGUACCUUUAAUGAUGAGUAGUGGAUGUGGUACAUACAUAAUGGAUGUUUAAACUGCGCAGUUACUUUAUUAUGAUGUUAUGAUUUGCGAAAUUGCAUGCACAUGUUCUUCUCUAACUAAAACCCUUGUGCGUUGCUUAAUGUGGCAAGUUCAAUUUAUAGCUCUAAGAGCAAGCUUUCUUUUGUUUUUCGGCAUAUGUACACUGAGUACUUUGUACUCAGCCCUGCAUGUAUUUCUAAAUGUGCAGGAUAAGCGAGAAGGAGGAAGAUCGGUCUGGUGCUGGCGGGGACUUAUUUU